GAUGAACGCUGGCGGCGUGCCUAAUACAUGCAAGUCGAGCGAACAGACGAGGAGCUUGCUCCUCUGACGUUAGCGGCGGACGGGUGAGUAACACGUGGAUAACCUACCUAUAAGACUGGGAUAACUUCGGGAAACCGGAGCUAAUACCGGAUAAUAUAUUGAACCGCAUGGUUCAAUAGUGAAAGACGGUUUUGCUGUCACUUAUAGAUGGAUCCGCGCCGCAUUAGCUAGUUGGUAAGGUAACGGCUUACCAAGGCAACGAUGCGUAGCCGACCUGAGAGGGUGGUCGGCCAACCAGGAACUGAGACACGGUCCAGACUCCUACGGGAGGCAGCAGUAGGGAAUCUUCCGCAAUGGGCGAAAGCCUGACGGAGCAACGCCGCGUGAGUGAUGAAGGUCUUCGGAUCGUAAAACUCUGUUAUUAGGGAAGAACAAAUGUGUAAGUAACUAUGCACGUCUUGACGGUACCUAAUCAGAAAGCCACGGCUAACUACGUG
rnacentral:rRNA from 1 species